AGCAGUCGCCGCGGUAAUACGAAGGGAGCUAGCGUUGUUCGGAUUUACUGGGCGUAAAGGGCGCGUAGGCGGGCGAAUAAGUCAGGGGUGAAAUCCCAAGGCUCAACCUUGGAACUGCCUUUGAUACUGUUUGUCUUGAGUUCGAGAGAGGUAAGUGGAACUGCGAGUGUAGAGGUGAAAUUCGUAGAUAUUCGCAAGAACACCAGUGGCGAAGGCGGCUUACUGGCUCGAAACUGACGCUGAGGCGCGAAAGCGUGGGGAGCAAACAGGAUUAGAUACCCCCGUAGUCCCUGUCUCUUAUAC
rnacentral:rRNA from 1 species